rnacentral:tmRNA from 1 species
GGGGACGACCUGGUUUCGACGUGGGUUACAAAGCAGCGCAGGGCAUACCGAGGGCUGGUCACCUCGUAAAUCCAACCGGAAAUGAAAUAACUGCUAACGACGAACGUUACGCUCUAGCCGCUUAAUAACCGGUUAGCCCUACACCGCCUCUUCCCUGGGGCGGGCUGGUAACAGCACGUAGGGUCAUUCACAGGGAAUCGCUUCAGGCCGGGUCACUUGGCUUGAAGUUAAAUCUAAGGUGACUCGCCUGAUCGCAGCGUGCGCGUCCGCGUCGCUCAGGUUAAAUCAAAUGGCAGCGCUAAGUAUGUAGAACUGUCUGUAGAGGGCUUGCGGACGCGGGUUCGAUUCCCGCCGUCUCCACCA